rnacentral:tRNA from 1 species
AGAUCCGUAACUCAGUUGGUAGAGUGGUUGCCUUACAAGCAAUAGGUCAUCGGUUCGAAUCCGGUCGGGUCUA